AGGGAAACCGAGUCUUAAUUGGGCGUUAAGUUGCAGGGUAUAGACCCGAAACCCGGUGAUCUAGCCAUGGGCAGGUUGAAGGUUGGGUAACACUAACUGGAGGACCGAACCGACUAAUGUUGAAAAAUUAGCGGAUGACCUGUGGCUGGGGGUGAAAGGCCAAUCAAACCGGGAGAUAGCUGGUUCUCCCCGAAAGCUAUUUAGGUAGCGCCUCGUGAACUCAUCUCCGGGGGUAGAGCA
rnacentral:rRNA from 1 species